GCUGGAACCGUUCGUGUGUGUGGAGUGUUGUUUGGGCGAUCGCUUCCAGCAUUGAGUUUGAUGGUCUAUGCUAUGCUGGAGCUUGUACAAUUUUAACAAAUGGUCUGCACGUCUUCCAAUUACAAUUUGAGCUCACUUACAGAAAAUUGCACCAUCCAAAUGCUUCCAUUAAAAGAGAUUUACAUGUGAAUUAGCUGAAGAAAGAUAAAGAUUGUUUUCCAGGAGACCAGAGAACUGAAAUCUCUAUCAUUCCUACCAGGGAUUUUCAGCCCCUCAAAUAUGACACCAGAUCCUGUGGAAUAAGAUGACAGUUAGAAUCUAAGCCACGCCAACUCUCCUAAGUGACCGAUAUGAAAACUCUGCCCAUCUGUCUCCAGCCAUUGAGUUUAUUUGAAAGGACUGUAGAGCAAUACAUAAAUAAAA